rnacentral:rRNA from 1 species
UACGUAGGGUGCGAGCGUUGUCCGGAAUUAUUGGGCGUAAAGAGCUUGUAGGCGGUCUGUCGCGUCUGCUGUGAAAAUCCGGGGCUCAACCCCGGACUUGCAGUGGGUACGGGCAGACUAGAGUUCGGUAGGGGAGACUGGAAUUCCUGGUGUAGCGGUGGAAUGCGCAGAUAUCAGGAGGAACACCGGUGGCGAAGGCGGGUCUCUGGGCCGAAACUGACACUGAGGAGCGAAAGCGUGGGGAGCAAACAGG